rnacentral:rRNA from 1 species
UAGGGAAUCUUCCACAAUGGACGCAAGUCUGAUGGAGCAACGCCGCGUGAGUGAAGAAGGUUUUCGGACCGUAAAGCUCUGUUGUUGGUGAAGAAGGGUAGAGGUAGUAACUGGCCUUUAUUUGACGGUAAUCAACCAGAAAGUCACGGCUAACUACGUGCCAGCAGCCGCGGUAAUACGUAGGUGGCAAGCGUUGUCCGGAUUUAUUGGGCGUAAAGCGAGCGCAGGCGGAAGAAUAAGUCUGAUGUGAAAGCCCUCGGCUUAACCGAGGAAUUGCAUCGGAAACUGUUUUCUUGAGUGCAGAAGAGGAGAGUAGAACUCCAUGUGUAGCGGUGGAAUGCGUAGAUAUAUGGAAGAAUACCAGUGGCGAAGGCGGCUCUCUGGUCUGCAACUGACGCUGAGGCUCGAAAGCAUGGGUAGCGAACAGGAUUAGAUACCCUGGUAGUCCAUGCCGUAAACGAUGAGUGCUAAGUGUUGGGAGGCUUCCGCCUCUCAGUGCUGCAGCUAACGCAUUAAGCACUCCGCCUGGGGGAGUACGACCGCAAGGUUGAAAC